UAGUCCACGCCGUAAACGAUGAUAACUAGCUGUCCGAACCCACAGGGUUUGGGUGGCGCAGCUAACGCAUUAAGUUAUCCGCCUGGGGAGUACGGUCGCAAGAUUAAAACUCAAAGGAAUUGACGGGGGCCUGCACAAGCGGUGGAGCAUGUGGUUUAAUUCGACGCAACGCGCAGAACCUUACCAGCUUUUGACAUCCUGGUCGCGGAUUUGGGAGACCAUUUCCUUCAGUUCGGCUGGACCAGUGACAGGUGCUGCAUGGCUGUCGUCAGCUCGUGUCGUGAGGUGUUGGGUUAAGUCCCGCAACGAGCGCAACCCCUAUUUCCAGUUGCCAGCACAUAAUGGUGGGACUCGUGGAGAGACUGCCGGCGCAAGCCGCGAGGGAAGGGUGGGGGAUGGACGUCAAAUC
rnacentral:rRNA from 1 species